GGCACAGACAUUGAUAAGCCCGUUUGACGGCCAGUCUACGGUUGUGUUUGGAUAACUGUUAAAGAGGCUAAAAAUGUAUUUUCAUUUUUUUAAGUCUGACAAUAUUUAAAAACAAAAAAUCUCCCCUACGCGUACAUGUGGAUCAACGCAGCCGGAGCUCAGAGUGAAAUGAAAAUUUUAAUAAUAAAAUAUGUCUCUGAGUAAAGGGUGGACAUUCCGUACAGAAGAGUCAACGUCCGUGUCAGGCUUUCACCAAAUGCCACCAGCCUGUGCUAUCCUUUCUUUUGGACUAUCGACUCCAUCUCUGCACCUUAACUUCACGCUCCCCCCUUUGAAACUCCUUCAUCUCCGCUCGCCAGAUCUUCCUCCCACCUAUCACCCGAGGCCAUUUUCGCAAUUCUGACCUCCCACCCAACCAAAACCUC
rnacentral:misc_RNA from 1 species